rnacentral:ncRNA from 1 species
CCGCGCACUACGGCUGAAAAUGGGGUGACAAGCGCAUCGGCUUGUUUAAGGUCAAGAAUUGCGGUUAUAUACGAU